UACAGAGGGGGCAAGCGUUGUUCGGAAUUAUUGGGCGUAAAGGGCGCGUAGGCGGUGCGGUAAGUCUUUUGUGAAAUCUCCGGGCUCAACUCGGAGUCUGCAGGAGAAACUGCCGUGCUCGAGUGUGGGAGAGGUGAGUGGAAUUCCUGGUGUAGCGGUGAAAUGCGUAGAUAUCAGGAGGAACACCUGUGGCGAAAGCGGCUCACUGGACCAUAACUGACGCUGAUGCACGAAAGCUAGGGGAGCAAACAGG
rnacentral:rRNA from 1 species